CUGCACUAUGAUCAUGGUCAUGUUAUCACAUCCCUCGCCACCAACAGUAGGUGCCAAACACCUGUCGAAAACUUUCUCACAAAUUGCUGAAAGCUUACUUUCCUGUAUGAAUUGGGAAAGAAAAACAGUUAACUAAAACAUUCCACAUAUACAUAAUUCUAGCAAGUGUUUACACAACUUACAGUGUUUGACUACUCGCGCACAUAAUCCACUAGCUGUUGGCUCGACAUGCAAUCCCUAGUGCACAGGAGAGACUUAUAAAAAUUCUAAGUGAAUGCUAAUUAGUUUCAUAAUGAAUGAUCAAAGGGGGAAGAAAGGAGGGAAGAUUCACACCAUAAUUUUCAUUCCACUUAGGGUUCAUUCCACAUUUACUUUCAGCUCAUAAUAAAAUUUAGGGCCACAUUUGACACUUCAUCUUGGAGCUUGGAGUACACAGGUGUUAAAGUAACUAAAGCCCUCAUAUGAAGCCUAAUAAUCUGAUUCUCAGAAGACAUGGUGAUGCAAUCAAUGAAGAUUCUAUUUUGGAAUUAUUUUUAUUUUUAAUUCUAAAAUUAAUAUAUUUAAUUUAGAUUUUUAGUAUUAAAAAUUCUAUUAUUAUUAUUGUUAUUAUUAUGUUGAUUAGCCAAUUAAUGAAUUGUAUAAUUAGGUUGUUAAUUAACUUUUGAAUUGAUGAUCCAUAAAAUGAUUUGUUUUCUCUUAUCAUGCAGGGAAGAUUUUAAUUCAUGAUGAUCCCAAAUACCAAGGACUUACUGAUUAAUUAAUUGAUUAAUUAAAGAGAUAACCAUCAUAAUUUCUUUGGUGAAUUUUAGAACCAUAUUGGCUGACUAGACAGAAGUUCCUCUGUAGUCUGUUUUUUCAGCAAGAUCUUCAUCACUUAUAUCUGUAAUUAUCAAGGUGAAAAUGGACCAGUAGUUGAUGGUCAAAUGAUUGACUGGAUAGAAUUUUUAGCUAAUGGAAGAAGGUUUCUGGCUCAAGUUUUUCUAAUUUUGUACUUAGUGCUCCCAGAAAAGCACAAUAGCUUUUCCACAAGUGAUUUUGAACCUUCAAGCGCUAGGGAUAGAUAAGGGCAUAUAUGAUUUGUCUUUUACAUGUUAUGCCCAAAUGAUAAGGAAUUUUUCAUACUGGCUUAUUUCUGAAGCAAGUUCUUUUUACUAUUUGGUUUUCUUUUCUCCUCUGUUGAUUGUGCCACUAAACCAAGUUGAUUUUCUUGUGAGUCAGAUAUUGGAUCAGCUAGAAUUAAAGUUAUGUCUCUGUUUUUACGCUGCUGAUGGAUUCUGUUUGUGCAGAGGAAGCUAGAGGAGAAAAGAGCAAGAGCCCUUGAGAAGAUGCAGAAUGAGGUAGCAAAAGCACACAGAAAAGCAGAGGAUAGAAGAGCAUCAGCUGAAGCUAAAAGAGGAACAAAAGUUGCCAGAGUUCUUGAAAUAGCCAAUUUGAUGAGAGCUGUUGGGAGAGCUCCUGCCAAGCGGUCCUUCUUUUGAGCAGUCUUAUUGUACUCUAUAAACAUAUUCUCAACUAAAAACAGAAUUACAAAGAAAAGGAGUGGUGGACAAAAUAAUUGCCCCAACCUUUAGGGUUUCCUGUAUCUUUUGAACUUCGGGGUACCCGGGCAUUGAAGAGUUUGAACUUUGAAGUGUGUUUUUUGGUAAGUGCUUGUUGGUUGGAAGUGGUGGAACAAACAAUUUGCCUUGUAAAGUUAUACUGUUUCUUAUUGAUAGAAAUUAAGAUGCUAAAUGCCAAUUAAUACUUGUUUAAAGAUAAUUAGUCAAGAUGUUCAGUUUUUGGUUCAUCUACCACUCAAGGGAUAAAUUGUUGUUUAUGUUCACUAUGUUCUUGUGAGUGUGCUUUCUGAGGAAGUGGAGAUGCCAGCCUUUUGAAAUUAUAAGCUCUCUAUGCCAAUGGUUGGUUUGCAACUGCAUACCCACUGGUAGUUUUGCUAGGUAUUGAACAUCCAACAUCUUAGGCAAAUGAUGUGUUUGUUAGCUUAUUGGGUCCAUGGUUCUAUGAACUACUCUGCUUUUAUUAAUAAUUCGAUGUAUUGAAAAUUUUG
rnacentral:misc_RNA from 1 species